rnacentral:rRNA from 1 species
GAUGAACGCUGGCGGCGUGCUUAACACAUGCAAGUCGAACGAAGAAGAGUUGAAUGAGAGCUUCGGCAGGAUUUCUUCUCAUCUUAGUGGCGGACGGGUGAGUAACGUGUGGGCAACCUGCCCUGUACUGUGGAAUAAUCACUGGAAACGGUGACUAAUACCGCAUGUCAUCUUCGGAAGGCAUCUUCUGAAGAAAAAAGGAGCAAUUCGGUACAGGAUGGGCCCGCAUCUGAUUAGCUAGUUGGUGAGAUAACAGCCCACCAAGGCGACGAUCAGUAGCCGACCUGAGAGGGUGAUCGGCCACAUUGGGACUGAGACACGGCCCAAACUCCUACGGGAGGCAGCAGUGGGGAAUAUUGCACAAUGGGGGAAACCCUGAUGCAGCAACGCCGCGUGAAGGAUGAAGGUUUUCGGAUCGUAAACUUCUAUCAACAGGGAAGAAACAAAUGACGGUACCUGAAUGAGAAGCCCCGGCUAACUACGUGCCAGCAGCCGCGGUAACAC